GACGAACGCUGGCGGCGUGCUUAACACAUGCAAGUCGAACGGAAAGGCCCUGCUUUUGUGGGGUGCUCGAGUGGCGAACGGGUGAGUAACACGUGAGUAACCUGCCCUUGACUUUGGGAUAACUUCAGGAAACUGGGGCUAAUACCGGAUAGGAGCUCCUGCUGCAUGGUGGGGGUUGGAAAGUUUCGGCGGUUGGGGAUGGACUCGCGGCUUAUCAGCUUGUUGGUGGAGUAGUGGCUUACCAAGGCUUUGACGGGUAGCCGGCCUGAGAGGGUGACAGGCCACAUUGGGACUGAAAUACGGCCCAGACUCCUACGGGAGGCAGCAGUGGGGAAUAUUGCACAAUGGGCGGAAGCCUGAUGCAGCAACGCCGCGUGCGGGAUGACGGCCUUCGGGUUGUAAACCGCUUUCGCCUGUGACGAAGCGUGAGUGACGGUAAUGGGUAAAGAAGCACCGGCUAACUACGUG
rnacentral:rRNA from 1 species